rnacentral:rRNA from 1 species
GACGAACGCUGGCGGCGUGCCUAAUACAUGCAAGUCGAGCGAAUCAUUAGGAGCUUGCUCCUGAUGGUUAGCGGCGGACGGGUGAGUAACACGUGGGCAACCUGCCUGUAAGACUGGGAUAACACCGGGAAACCGGUGCUAAUACCGGAUAAUUCUUCCCCUCACAUGAGGGAAAGCUGAAAGUCGGUUUCGGCUGACACUUACAGAUGGGCCCGCGGCGCAUUAGCUAGUUGGUGAGGUAACGGCUCACCAAGGCGACGAUGCGUAGCCGACCUGAGAGGGUGAUCGGCCACACGGGGACUGAGACACGGCCCAGACUCCUACGGGAGGCAGCAGUAGGGAAUCUUCCGCAAUGGACGAAAGUCUGACGGAGCAACGCCGCGUGAGUGAUGGAGGCCUUCGGGUCGUAAAACUCUGUUGUUAGGGAAGAACAAGUAUCGGAGUAACUGCCGGUACCUUGACGGUACCUAACCAGAAAGCCACGGCUAACUACGUGCCAGCAGCCGCUGUAACAC